CGGGGUACCCUUUGACCCUCCUUAGUUCAACCAAAUGAAUUAAAAUUUUAAAAUGAUGCAACUUUUUGAAAAACUAGUUCAUUUAUUUAAACUAAGCAGGGUCAAAGGAUGCCCAG
rfam:Brachypodium distachyon strain Bd21 chromosome 5, whole genome shotgun sequence.